rnacentral:rRNA from 1 species
AACGAAUGCUGGCGGCAGGCCUAACACAUGCAAGUCGAGCGAAGCCUUCGAGCUUAGCGGCGGACGGGUGAGUAACGCGUGGGAACGUGCCCUUUGGUACGGAAUAGCCCCGGGAAACUGGGAGUAAUACCGUAUGUGGUCGAGAGACGAAAGAUUUAUCGCCAAAGGAUCGGCCCGCGUUGGAUUAGGUAGUUGGUGGGGUAAUGGCCUACCAAGCCGACGAUCCAUAGCUGGUUUGAGAGGAUGAUCAGCCACACUGGGAUUGAGACACGGCCCAGACCCCUACGGGAGGCAGCAGUGGGGAAUCUUAGACAGUGGGGAAACCCUGAUCUAGCCAUGCCGCGUGAUCGAUGAAGGCCUUAGGGUUGUAAAGAUCUUUCAGUGGGGAAGAUAAUGACUGUACCCACAGAAGAAGCCCCGGCUAACUCCGUGCCAGCCGCCGCCGUAAUAC